UCCACAUCCAUGUGGCAGGACCCUUUCUUACAUCCAACACUGACCAAGGCAUGCUUUUGGUGUCAUUGUAGGAAAGUCCAUACAAAUAGAUUUUUAAUUUAGAUUAUAUCGCUGUAAUUGAAGGUUGAGGAUUUAAAAGAGAAAUGGACCAAAGACAGUGUUCACCUAAUGCUGAAGAAGAUAAAAUUUCUAGGAGGUAAGCCAGGAGGCCAGUAAGAACCAAGGAGCACUCUAUGUUUUGAAGAAUAAUAAUGUGAUUGCAAGUGUCUGUAUGAUGCAGGGCAAAUGAGUGGGUUUAAAAUGUCAUCGUGUAGAUUGAAUUGAGACGAAUCACUGUGAUUUUCAAGGACCGUGUGUUUCUGGUGUGGAAAAAGCCAGCCAGUACUUCCAAAUGCAUGAAUGUAGGAGUGUGUGUAUUCAUUUCUUCUCUCCACCAGGGACUCCUCUGCAGGAUGCCUUUUAUGUCUCAGAUGUAGAGAUUAAAUGGAAUUAAAAGGUCAAAAUAUUCAUCAGUUUCACUAACAACAGCCCAGUGCUCAUCUUUCUUGCAAUGGCCUCAUGGAGAGCUUCCCAAUUCAACCUUGAUGUUGUGGACUGAAGAGCUUGGGAAGCCAGAUGUUUCUGUAACCUGGUUGGCUGCUGUUAGAGAUGGAGGGGCCAAGUGGGAAUUCUCAGUGCUGGUGUCAACUGGAGGUUGGCGUCACUCGCUAUUGCACAGCCGUGCCCUUUCGUGAGAAGUCAGUCGGCUUCACUGACAGCUGAUCUGGAGCCAAGACACCAAAAGUCACAGGAGGGAAAGCACAGAGUGACUAUGCAGCUCAUCAGACAGCACAAAUAGUCAGCAGUAUCAAGAAGUAUUGAGCCAGUUCUGGAGAUGAUCUGUAUCAGUCCAAGACUCCUUCCUGCAGCCAAACCAUCCAUCUCUGCUAGGUGGAAAGACAGCCUGGACACGCAGUGCUCAGACAGGCUUCUACAUACUCACACCCACAAGCAGGUUCCUUUACUUGGAGUUGAAUCCCACUCCCAGUUUACCAGAGCACCUCCAGACCAUGAUCCAUCUACAACCUUCAAGGAUGCACCAAAGCACAGUUAG
rnacentral:lncRNA from 13 species